UAGUAUAUAGUUUUCUUGGGACAUAUGUCUGGCUUUAUUAUCAAAGUAAUAUAAUGUAAAUCUCAAGAAAGAACAAGGAAUAGUGUUUCUUCUUUAACUUUUCUGGGUAAAAGUUUAUGAAGAAUUGAUACUGUUUGGUUUUUAAGGGUUUGUGGAACUCACUGCUAAAGCUGACUAGACCUGUUUUUUGUUUCUUUGUUUUUUUAAGGGUUUUUUUUUUUUUUUUUGUAGUAGCUUCUGGCUACUGGUUUAAUACCUCAAAGGACCCUCGUGGUUUUUAUUUGUAUUUUUUUGAAUCCAUUUAGCCAACUUUCAUUUUCUUCUUUUAUAUUAUCUGCCCUGUUGUCACAUGGAAGACCAGGAGCCCUUCAUAUUCCUUAUAGUCUUUAUUUUUGUAAGGCCAGUCAUACUGUCUCCCAUUUACUUCUGAUUUUAGUCAUUUGACUUAUUUGUGUUGCUAUCUUAGCUAAAGAGAAAUCAAUUACUUGCAUGUGAAAUGAACCAAUUUGAGGGAUUUUUGUCUUUGUCUUUUGGAUUCUCUAUUUUUUUUUUUCAGUUCUACCAUAAAUCUGUGGCCUACCUGCAUCCUCCCCGCCUCCACUUUCACCUUGCUAGAAUUCACACAGUUCUUCACACCAAACCCCCCAGAUGCCAAAGGAUACAAAUGUCCUGUUUUUCUCACAUUUUCUGCUUUCCAUAUGGCCCUGCCUUGGGACCAACAAGCCUAUCAUCCACUUGCCAUCUGGCCAACCCCAGUCAUCCAUGAGCUGUUCCCUGGGCUCCAGACAGAGUCCUAUGCCCCAGUGAAUCCUCUUGCCUUCUGUAAUUGUGUAAUAGCAUAUGAUGUGUGGGCCAUACUGGAUAAUUCUUGUGUUUUGGGGCCCUAGACUGCUCUAGGCUUCUUUUGGGUAAAUAUCGAAUUUGCAAGGUCUAUGGGAGUAUUUUAUGGACAUGAAAUUGAACAUGGGGCUAUGCCCACCUGUCUCCCAUUGAGCUUCAUGUUAUACUUCACACCCUUUGAGUACACUGUCUCAGGUCCUUGCAGGCACAGUAGCUUCUUGGACUCUCACCAACCUGGACUCUAGCCAAAACAAAGUAGAUAUUUCUUUAGACAGAUAAACGCUGGUAGCCAUGGACACUAGUAUGUUUAUUUAGUAUUGCUUCUUGGGUCGGUUGAAUUAUGAAGAGAGUGCAACAUGAGGCCCCAUGUGCCAGCAAAUUCUUCAAACUCUUGUGGUGUGGACCAAGAGCUCUGGGGGCAACACUAAGGUCCAGAGUUAAAGACAUGUUACUGUCUAGCUGGGUCCUUCCAUUCAAGCUGGAGCUAUGUAGUUAUAACAAUAGCCAAGAGUGCCUGAGAACAUAACCCUCCCAACAGUGAGGGCCUCCCACACUGAGGCUGGAAAGGGACAUUUCAAAUCAGAUUCCAGAUGCCACUGAUUUUGUUUUGAAAUCUAAAUUUCAGGACAAUUUGUCAUAAUGCUGCAUGCCUAGAUUGGUUUUAAUUAUCUCAUAAACAUCUAAUAGACUUAAUCAAACUCCUGAGCAGACUUCCAUUAAUUAAUGGUCUGACAUCUUCUGGUUCUAUUUUAGUACUGAUGUUUAGUUAGUUGUUUGGUAAGCCACAGUAUAUUCCAUAAAAACUGACAACUUAAUCGAAUCAGUUGUGUCUUAGUUUAGGGUUUCAUUUCUGUGAACAUACACCAUGACCAAGGCAACUCUUAAAAGGACAACAUUUAAUUGGGGCUGGCUUACAGGUUCAGAGGUUCAGUCCAUUAUCAUCAAGGUGGGAGCAUGGCAGCAUUCAGGUGGGUAUGGGGCUGGAGGAGCUGAGAGUUCUACCUCUUGUUCCAAAGGCAAACAGAAGAUUGACUUCCAGGGAGAUAGGGUGAGGUCUUAAGGCCCAUGCUCACAGUGAUAUACUUCUUCCAACAAAGCUGUACCUCCUAAUAGUGUCACUCCCUGGGCCAAGCAGAUUCAAACCACCACAAGUUGUUUGGUAUUCUCUAGCACAUUCCAGAACACAGCAAACUUAGUUGACUCACUACAUAAGCAAAUGUGGAAGACGUAGUCAGAAGAUCAUGAAAAGCCUGGGAUUCAUGUUCCCUGGCACAAAUCCGUCUCCUGCCACUAUUUACUUACAGCUGAUAGCUUUUUACUGGACUCUGAAAAUUAUUUUGGUCAGCCAUGUUUGCUAUUGUUCCACAGUGACUCAAAAACUAAGAAAAUGAAGUGUUAGCAUGCUGUUUGCCUGG
rnacentral:lncRNA from 1 species